GCUCAGGAUGAACGCUGGCGGUCUGCUUAACACAUGCAAGUCGAACGCAACCUUCGGGUUGAGUGGCGGACGGGUGAGUAACGCGUGAGAAUCUGCCUUGGGGUCGGGGACAACCACUGGAAACGGUGGCUAAUACCGGAUAAGCCUUUGGGUAAAAAAUUUAUUGCCCCAAGAGGAGCUCGCGUCUGAUUAGCUAGUUGGUGAGGUAAGAGCUCACCAAGGCAGCGAUCAGUAGCUGGUCUGAGAGGACGAUCAGCCACACUGGGACUGAGACACGGCCCAGACUCCUACGGGAGGCAGCAGUGGGGAAUUUUCCGCAAUGGGCGAAAGCCUGACGGAGCAAGACCGCGUGAGGGAGGAAGGCUCUUGGGUUGUAAACCUCUUUUCUCAGGGAAGAAGCUCUGACGGUACCUGAGGAAUCAGCCUCGGCUAACUCCGUGCCAGCAGCCGCGGUAAUACGGAGGAGGCAAGCGUUAUCCGGAAUUAUUGGGCGUAAAGCGUCCGCAGGUGGCGAUUCAAGUCUGCUGUCAAAGCACGGGGCUUAACUCCGUUAAGGCAGUGGAAACUGAAUAGCUAGAGUGCCGUAGGGGUAGAGGGAAUUCCCGGUGUAGCGGUGAAAUGCGUAGAGAUCGGGAAGAACAUCGGUGGCGAAAGCGCUCUACUGGACGGCAACUGACACUCAGGGACGAAAGCUAGGGGAGCGAAUGGGAUUAGAUACCCCAGUAGUCCUAGCUGUAAACGAUGGAUACUAGGUGUAGCUUGUAUCGACCCGAGCUGUGCCGAAGCUAACGCGUUAAGUAUCCCGNCUGGGGAGUACGCACGCAA
rnacentral:rRNA from 1 species